CCCGAUAACGUACGGCAGUAAGACGCGGAAAGGCGGGGGGAGGAAGCGGGGGCCGGAAGCAGUGGGCGUAAAGAGCUCGUAGGUGGUCUGUUACGGCUGCUGGGAAAGCCGAGGGUGUAACCCGGGUCCGGCAGGGGAGACGGGCAGACGAGAGGUAGGUAGGGGAGAAGGGAAUGCCCGGUGUAGCGGUGAAAUGCGCAGAUAUCGGGAGGAACACCGGUGGCGAAGGCGGUUCUCUGGGCCUUACCUGACACUGAGGAGCGAAAGCGUGGGGAGCGAACAGGAUUAGAUACCCGGAGC
rnacentral:rRNA from 1 species